AGUAUCAUUAAGUGAAUACAUAGCUUAAUGAGGGGAACUCAGGGAACUGAAACAUCUAAGUACCUGAAGGAAGAGAAAGAAAUUCGAUUCCGUAAGUAGCGGCGAGCGAACGCGGAUUAGCCCAAACCAAUAAAGUUUUCUUUAUUGGGGUUGAGGACAUACCACAUAUAAGAGGUCAUUAUAGACGAAGAAGUUUGGAAAAACUCAUCAUAGAAGGUAAUAAUCCUGUAGUCAAAAUAAUAAUUCUUUAGGUAUGAUCCAGAGUACCACGGGACACGUGAAACCCUGUGGGAAGCAGGAGGGACCACCCUCCAAGGCUAAAUACUACCUAGUGACCGAUAGCGUAUAGUACCGUGAGGGAAAGGUGAAAAGAACCCCGGGAGGGGAGUGAAAUAGAACCUGAAACCCUGCACUUACAAGCUGUGGAAGCACAUUUCUUG
rnacentral:rRNA from 1 species